GGGCCCGCACAAGCGGUGGAGCAUGUGGUUUAAUUCGAUGAUACGCGAGGAACCUUACCAAGGCUUAAAUGUAGAGGGACAGGCGGCGAAAGUUGCCCUUCUUCGGACUCUCUACAAGGUGCUGCAUGGUUGUCGUCAGCUCGUGCCGUGAGGUGUCGGGUUAAGUCCCAUAACGAGCGCAACCCCUAUCUUUAGUUGCCAGCGGUUCGGCCGGGGACUCUAAAGAAACUGCCCGCGCAAGCGGUGAGGAAGGUGGGGAUGACGUCAAAUCAUCACGGCCCUUACGUCUUGGGCUACACACGUGCUACAAUGGUAGUGACAAUGGGCAGCCACUCCGCGAGGGUGAGCCAA
rnacentral:rRNA from 1 species